UUAAUUGAAACCAAAUAGAGGUUUACCACUGUUAAUGGUAUAAAUGAAUAAAUACUCCAAUUAAA
rnacentral:tRNA from 1 species